GACGGGGGAUGCAAGCGUUAUCCGGAAUCACUGGGCGUAAAGCGUCUGUAGGUGGUGAUGCAAGUCACUGGUGCAAAACUCUGGCUCAACCGGAGGAAAGCCAGUGAAACUGCAUGACUAGAGUGUGGGAGAGGUAGAAGGAAUUCCCUGAGUAGCGGUGAAAUGCGUAGAUACAUGGCAGAACACCUGAGGCGAAAGCGUUCUACUGGAACACAACUGACACUGAGAGACGAAAGCUAGGGGAGCGAAUGGG
rnacentral:rRNA from 1 species